rnacentral:rRNA from 1 species
CCCUUAGAUGUUCUGGGCCGCACGCGCGCUACACUGACGAAUGCAACGAGCUUAUAACCUUGGCCGAAAGGUCUGGGUAAUCUCAAAUUUCGUCGUGAUGGGGAUAGAUUAUUGCAAUUAUUAAUCUUCAACGAGGAAUGCCUAGUAAGCGCAAGUCAUCAGCUUGCGUUGAUUACGUCCCUGCCCUUUGUACACACCGCCCGUCGCUCCUACCGAUUGAAUGGUCCGGUGAAGCGUUCGGACCGUGGCCUUUGGACGGUUCGCCGUCUGUUGGCUGCGGGAAGUUCGUUAAACCUUAUCAUUUAGAGGAAGGAGAAGUCGUAACA